GGCUAUAUUAUAAAAUCGAUCGAAUAGCAUACAUAUAUAUAUAUAAAUGUUUUGAAAUAAAAAAAUUUUAAUUACAAUAGAUCGAUCGCUUUUAAAAGAGCAAUGACAUUUUAAAUGGCUCACGCCAUUAUACAAAAAUAUUCUUAUAAAUAUGGCAACUAAUUGGUUUAUAAUAUUGUUAAUUUUUACCCACCACCGUGUGUGUGUGUGUACAUACGAGAUUUUACAUAUGGUGUGACGUUAAUUAACUUCAAACAUUUAUUUUAUGAAAAAAGAGAAUAAUGCAUAUAAAAUACUUUUAUAUAGUUAAUUAUUUGUAAUAUUUAUCGUCUUUAUCAUCGAUAAAAUUCAGCUCCAACUUAUUAACGUUGUAUUCUUGUUUUUUAUUUUCCAAUCUGUUAACUAUAAAACUAUAGCUUUUAUUGCAUCAAGAUUAAAUUAAAAUAAGAAAGAAAAACGAGAUGAUUUACAGAGUGGAAAUACUAAGCCGAUAAGUUAGAGAAUUUUGUAUCCCAUCGUUGAUAAUAUAAAUUUCUACCUGAAAUAAUUUAGUUGUGAAAAUGAAGAGAGCGCCACUUACAUUAAAGUUGCGAGAAUCGCAUCAGCGAUUGUAUCGAAUUCUUGACACGAUUUAUUACUUCCGUAAGUUCAAAUUUAUUAAGUGAAUUCAUUUCGAUUUGUAUAAGUGUUAAACAUAUUUAGUAUUAUAAUGACAGAUAUUUAAUCAAUCAGUUUGAGACGUACAAUUAAAUCAUAAAAUCGAUAUUUUAUUCUAGCUAAUAUUUGUGAAAGAUAAAAAAGAGAGAAAAACUGUGCGUACGCUUGCGCGCACAUACCAUAACACCUUGUUCAACGUUCUGUGAAUUAGUUGUCGGCAAUUGCAUUGACCUCGAGCUUGUCCUUGACCUUGGGCGUGUCUUCGACGUACGAAGAGAAGACGACCGUGUCGAACGAGCCCUGACCUAACCUAUUCUAGGCUAUGUCUCUGUCCUUCGCAUACAGACAAAGCCUAGGAGAGGCUAAAUCAAAUUACUCGGUGUUUUUUUUCACUCCAUUAGUAUAUUUUACACAAAAUGUCUUUAUAUAUUUGUUAAAUUAAUAUUUAUCCGUUAAAUCUCUUGUAAGUAACCGAAGAACGUAAAAAGAAGCACUAUGUAGCACUGUAUUCGUGAACGGAAUCUCUUUUUUUAUUUUAAUGUCUUUCGAAUACGUAAUCUUUGAUUUACCUUACUUUAUCGAAAUGAUCAACAACAACUGAAUCGGAAUUAUAAUAAGUUUAUCGAGGAGAUUAAUUAAUUGCAUUAAUUAAUCGCAUGCUUCAAGAAGCGUUUAAAAUAAGAUAAUAUGCAAAUUGGUAGAAUAAUGAAAUUGCAAAGAUAUCUGCAAUGAUAAUAUCGAUAUGGAUAUUAUGCCUGUUGAUUCAAUUUAUAAAUUGUAUUUUACAGUAGGUUAGUCGCCGCGAAUCGCAAGGAAAUUGUGUCAUGCCUAAAAAUACGCAAAGCACGCAGGUAAAUGUUAAAAGGUCGUACGGACAAGGAAUAAAAAAAGCUAAAGAAAUUGCACAAGAGAAGUUGAUUUGGUAUUCAAAUCACCAGGUAUGCGCCCGCCUCUCUCAUGGUAGAUACCGUGUGGUAGUUGUAAUAUGGAGGUCUCUUUCCUAGGAGUACUUUUUCUCUUCUUCCUUUAACUUCUACCUGCUUUCACUCGUAUUGAUACUUCUUUAGAAAGUCUCCACGCAAAAACGAAGAAGUAGACAAAAAGGAAAAGAAAAAACCAGAUAGCAGACACGAAAAAGUUGAUCGACAGAGAAUUUGAAUGAUGUAUACUUUAUCUCGUUAACGACGAUUCUUGAUAAAUGAUAUUUCGGAAAAAAACUUGGAAGAAUGUCAUUUCUCGAAAUAAUAUAAACAAACUUUUUCCACUGAGCAAUUCAAUGAAGCACACUUUUGUAAGCAAAGAAAAUAAGAAUUUCGAUCAAGAGAUUUCAAUGCACGAUUAUGCGAUGCCUCUUUUCAAAGAAGACAUCAACGGCCGCAUAGAAGAUAAUCCGAGGUUGCGUAUCAUACACAUGUCAUACGAUAAACUAUUACUGUUUUUCUCUUAACCGUCGUUGGAUCCCCCGCAGCGUAAUUGCGCUGUUUAGUUUUUAUAUUGAAAAAUUCCAAUAUAUUUGAAGGAUAUGGACAAUAUGGUUUUUUCAAAAACCUCUAGGGUCCAAACGGUUAAUUAACGUUUAAACGUAUUAACAUUAUUUCGUAAUCAAAAGUAUAAUGAAACAAAAUGUUAAUGAAAGAAUAAAAAAUAAUAUCUAUUUGGAAACACAGCGAGAAUCGUGCGACGUAAGAAAAAGGAUUUAAAUCAGCAGACCGUUGUUAAUCCCAUCUUGGAAAUGAAUCGAGACGAUCGAUAUUAAAGAAUACGUCAAUGAUUUACAUAUUCGACAAAAAAGAAAGAUAAGGUCCUACCUGUAAAUUUGUACGGGAGUAAAAAGAGUAAACGUGCUCGUCUAUCCUCCUUCAAGGACGUGCCGAGAGUUUCAUGACGAAGAAGAGAAGAAAAGAAGGAGAACGCACCUCGCGGUUCAGGAUGUGUUGUCGGCAUGCAUUUUGGGCGCCGGCUUGAAUUCCAUUUGUCACCUUUUUCCUUCUCCCUGAAAAAACGCAUCGUAUAUAUUAUACGGUUUAUACAGGGCGGAUCAAUAACUUUGAUCGUCUUCGAUAUUUCAUAUUAAAGGCAUAUGAAAUUUAGAGAUAGUAUUAAAAUGUAUAAAGAGUAAUAUACCAAGUAAUAGAUUGGUAACUUAUUUUGCACCAUUAUCUUGCGCUUACAACAAUAAUAAUAAUAAUUAUUAUUAUAAGAUAAGCACAGCAUAAGCACAAAGUAAGCGCAGAAUAAUAAUUUUGAGGUAAGCUAAGAAACCAUCAAUUUUUUACUACUACUAUUUACUUCCAAAACAUUUCUUUCAUCUUUAUUCUCUAAUAUUUAAAUUGCCAUGUAUCCUGAACACUAAUCCUUUUUCGACGUAGGCGAGUUAUUACUUUUUUAUAAAGAAUAUCUUGAUAUAUCCAUAUGAUUCAUAAAAAAAUUCUUACUACCAUGAUGUUACGGUCUCCUCCAUACCGUGUGACUUUUACAAACUAAGUUUCUCCAUAUCUCGAAAAAAAAAGAGAUAUUCAAGGUGAUUAAAGUUAUUGCUUCACCUAUUAUAUAUAUAUAUAUGUAUAUUCCUUAAAGAUUUUCUACCGGGUGAUCUUCAAUCUUUUAUUACAGUAAUAUCUCGUAAUAAUAAGAUAGAUAAGUAGAUGUUACGAUAAAAAUCGAGAUAUCAUUUACCGAUCAUCUUUCCUAUAAAAUCUCAUCAUUUUCUUCUCCUUUUGUUAGCUAUUAAUUACUAUAAUUAUUUCUAACAGCGUAAAUAUCCUAAUCUUUGUUUUAAGUAAUUUUGUAUGCAUAUACCGAUUUAAUAAGAAGGUUCCUUUUCAGCUUAUCCAUCCAACGUCUGGAGAUACUUGCGAUUGUGUCGAGUAGUAUUCCGAAUUCUCGUUCGCGACUCUUUCAUGGAGAUGGAGAUGGCGGCAACCUACGAUAAUUUAUUAACUAGUCCAGCGAGUCAAACCUGUUGCUCUUCGAACCAGCUUGUUUCGUUCUUCGUCACAGCACGUUCAAAGAAACCGUAUUCUUUAGUAUCUUUCCGUGUAUGAGUAUCGAUGAGUCCGUUUUAUUUUUAUUUUUUUGUCCUUUCAAUUAUUUAGAAAAUAGUGAAAUAUAUAAGUUCGAGUUGGAAAGAUUCUUGAGAGAAAAUGAUGACCUUUGACGGACACCGAGUCGAACGUAGUCGAGAAUAUGAAACCGCUAUGUAAGAUCGCAUCAUUUUCAAGAGUAAUGUACGAACGAUCAUCGUUCAUUUAAUUAUGGUUAUACAGGCAUAUAAUUCAGUAACAUCCACCGACAUUUCGUGGUACAUAUUCUUGUAUGUUCGUAAGUCAUUGUCGUAUGAGGAAUUAAUGAUUACAUGUUGCACGUUAAUGAGUAUGGUUACUUGUAGCAUGCACGCUUGCUCGUUAAUUUCCAAAGGCCCACUUGCUUCCUUUAUUUUAUACCUUUAUUUAUCUUCUACGAAAGCAAAUGAAUUUUCUUUCCCAUGAAAACGAUGGAUGCAUUUAUUUCGACCAUAAAUCUAAAACGUUGUCAUCGAUACGUCUUUAACUCUGUACUGUAAUGUAACCCGUUCGUCUUUUACAAAGAUUUCAAAUUAGACUUAACUACGGUUACAAAAAUUUUCGCUAUAUUUUCAACGAAGCGAAUUAAUUCAUUUUUAUCGAGAAAAAAAGAAAGCGGCUCUCUUUGACCUCCUCCGACGAAAGGACACGUUACUCGCCAGCUGUUCAUACGAAAUACGAGCUGUACCACUCGGAAACGAAUCGUCCAAUAACGAUUAUCUUAUUAUUUUUCUUAAUAAUAGAAUAUCUUCUAAUUUUACUUGGUAAUUUAUUUACAAAAAUUCUUAUUGUCACGUUUUAGCAUAUUUAGAAGGUGUCAAAAAUCUCUUUAGAAAUAUCUCAAAUUCUAUUCCUACAUUCACACGCUUGCGUGCGCGUUCAACGUCAUGAUAUUUACUCAAACUCUUUUAAAAAGCUUGCAUACCGGUUUAAUGACAAAUAUUGAAUCGCUAAUAGUUUAGUAAUUAUAGUUUGAAAAGUCUUGUUAUAAUGGCAAAUGACUGUAAAAAAGAUUUUGUUCUCCGUCUGUUUCUUUAUCUUUAGACAAUUUAAAUACAUUCGAAAUGCAAAGAGAAAAAUGGUCCAAUCGAUAGGUCGAAGAAGUGGCCAUUUAUAAAUGCAGACGCGCGAAGAGUACCAUCGUACCGUUGAACGUGUUUCAAGCAAACGAGGUCUUCUUUAGAAUACACUCUUGGUGUGUCCUGCCCUGAGGCCUUCGUAAUUUUCUUACCAAGAUAAGAUCGCCCUGGCUAAAAAUACUUUCGAGUAUCCGCUGUCGUUUGCGCCAUUGCAGGUUACCAAAAGUUUACGAUUAAUCUGACGGUACCAGAAUUUUAUUAACAUUACUUCUACCCCAAGAUGUUUAACGGAUUUUCUCUUUCUCUCUCUCUCUCUCUCUCUCUCUCUAUAUAUAUAUAUAUAUAUAUAUAUAGCAGUUUUUUGUGACCAAAAAGUUAAAGAUGUAAAGGAUGGCAACAUUAUUCAAAUCAAAAUGAAAGCAAUUUAAAUAUUUUCAAUGUAAAAUUAAACAUUUAUAACAGAACUAUUUAUAAUAAUCUUACAUUAGAACGGAUAAAAUAAUAAGUUAACGACUGAAUUUUCCUUAUAUAAAUGAAACAACGCGAAAUAAAUGCAUAAUGGUUAUUUACUUCCGGUUUUUCAUUUGCAAGGCGUACUUGAGACCACUUGCCCGGAGCAAUCGACGCGUCUCUUGCAAACGUGGCGAACGUGGGCGUGAAUUUUUUUCAUAAAGCAAGUUUCAUGGAUGCUUGAACGCGUAUUGGGAUCAAUGACACGCCCGCAGAUAUCCUCGUGGUAUUCUCUACGACCUACGUAGAGGAGGCAUCAUGUAGAAUUCCAACCACCUUCCUCGAGUUCGCAGCAGGACCUACUGGUUUCUAUUUAUAUACCGUGCAAGACCUUGCAACGGCGUUCGUGCUUACAAAUCUUCUCUCCUUCUUCUUCUUCUUCUUCUUCUUCUUCUUCCUUCCUCUCUUUACUCCCCUCUUUUACGCUCUCUUUCUCGCUUUCUCUCUGCUUUUACAGCAAACACACACAUAACGCGUGCGUAUUUCGCAAAGUUGAGAGUAGGAAGGUCAGCAACGUUUGCAAGAUUUUAGAUGCAUCCAAACGCACAAGUAGCAACGUUCGCGCUUUUUCUAUCUCUUAUGAAAAAUCAACAUUACGAUUUAUUUUUUUUUAUCUAGGAUAGGUAAAA
rnacentral:lncRNA from 1 species